rnacentral:lncRNA from 1 species
AUGGUUGCAGACGUUUACAGUACUGUGAUCCAGUGCAAUCAACAGAUUUCAGUCAGCAGAAUGGCCGUGCGCGCACACACUCACCCCCUUCCAGCCCUGCACACACUGGGAUCAUGUCUUGUUGACAUGACUAAGCAGCUCGGCUUUGUUCAUCUCUUCUUUUCCAUGUCUCGUAGGUUCUGUAGGAUAGUGCCGAUCUCCUUGCCAGAGGUGAUGCCCAUCUUCCUCAAGUCGUGCCUACUCGCGGGGAAGCGAGGAAUGGACCAUCUGCUCAUCUCUGCCAGUAACUUGUCCUCACCCUGGAAGUCAUGGGCUUGGGAGAAUGGUCCUUCACGUGCUGCCAGACCCGCUUCAUCUCCUCCACGUCACCCUCUGCAGUUCCUAGGAAACAGGGCUUUCUACCUCACCUAUGGACUGAGCCAGGCCCAGCUCAUACAUGACCUCUAGUGAGUGAGCAGCAUCUUCUUCAGCUCAACCCAGAUGCGCUCCCCUGAUAUGGCUGCUAGACCACGGGCCUUCUCCCAGAUAACCUCCAGGGGUGCAGGGUCAUGUUCGCCUGCCUUGACUGACACCGACCACAAAACCUGGGGGCAGACCGGAAGAUAUUGACAAGGGAAAAAACGGCAUACAGAAACCCUCACAUACUAAAGUUUGAUUUGUUAAUUGCCAUAGCCAAGUCCAACAUUAACACCUGUCUCAUUUACACCCCAGACAUCUCUGCAAUACCUGAAGUAUCAUAAUAUUCAAAUCAUAUCAAAUGUUAUUGGUCACAUACAUGUGUUUAGCAGAUGUUAUUGCGAGUCUAGUGAAAUGCUUUUGCUUCUAGCUCCGACAGUACAGUAAUAUCUCACAAGUAAUAUUUAACAGUUUCACAACAUAUACCCAAAAUACAUGU